UACGUAGGGUGCGAGCGUUAAUCGGAAUUACUGGGCGUAAAGCGUGCGCAGGCGGUUAUGGAAGACAGAUGUGAAAUCCCCGGGCUCAACCUGGGAACUGCAUUUGUGACUGCAUCGCUGGAGUGCGGCAGAGGGGGAUGGAAUUCCGCGUGUAGCAGUGAAAUGCGUAGAUAUGCGGAGGAACACCGAUGGCGAAGGCAAUCCCCUGGGCCUGCACUGACGCUCAUGCACGAAAGCGUGGGGAGCAAACAGG
rnacentral:rRNA from 1 species